rnacentral:rRNA from 1 species
GGACAAUGGGCGAAAGCCUGAUCCAGCAAUGCCGCGUGAGUGAUGAAGGCCUUAGGGUUGUAAAGCUCUUUUACCCGGGAUGAUAAUGACAGUACCGGGAGAAUAAGCCCCGGCUAACUCCGUGCCAGCAGCCGCGGUAAUACGGAGGGGGCUAGCGUUGUUCGGAAUUACUGGGCGUAAAGCGCGCGUAGGCGGCUUUGUAAGUUAGAGGUGAAAGCCCGGAGCUCAACUCCGGAACUGCCUUUAAGACUGCAUCGCUUGAAUUGUGGAGAGGUGAGUGGAAUUCCGAG